rnacentral:rRNA from 1 species
UACGUAGGGGGCAAGCGUUGUCCGGACUUAUUGGGCGUAAAGAGCGUGUAGGCGGUUUGGUAGGUCCGUUGUGAAAACUCGAGGCUCAACCUCGAGACGCCGAUGGAAACCAUCAGACUAGAGUCCGGAAGAGGAGAGUGGAAUUCCUGGUGUAGCGGUGAAAUGCGCAGAUAUCAGGAAGAACACCGGUGGCGAAGGCGGGUCUCUGGGCAGUAACUGACGCUGAGGAGCGAAAGCGUGGGGAGCGAACAGG